rnacentral:rRNA from 1 species
AUUGAACGCUGGCGGCAUGCCUUACACAUGCAAGUCGAACGGCAGCACGGGAGCAAUCCUGGUGGCGAGUGGCGAACGGGUGAGUAAUGCAUCGGAACGUGCCGUGUAGUGGGGGAUAACGUAGCGAAAGUUACGCUAAUACCGCAUACGCCCCGAGGGGGAAAGUGGGGACCGCAAGGCCUCACGCUAUACGAGCGGCCGAUGUCGGAUUAGCUAGUUGGUAGGGUAGAGGCCUACCAAGGCGACGAUCCGUAGCGGGUCUGAGAGGAUGAUCCGCCACACUGGGACUGAGACACGGCCCAGACUCCUACGGGAGGCAGCAGUGGGGAAUAUUGGACAAUGGGCGCAAGCCUGAUCCAGCCAUGCCGCGUGUGUGAUGAAGGCCUUAGGGUUGUAAAGCACUUUCACCGAUGAAGAUAAAUGACGGUAGUCGGAGAAGAAGACCCGGCUAACUUCGUGCCAGCAGCCGC